UAUUAAUAAUAGAAAUAAAAUAAAAUAUAUGAGCAAUUACGUAUUUUAUAGGAGACUUACAAUAAGACACGAUGCACGGAUAUGGCAAAUGCCUUCACAAUUUUUUCAAAUAUUUCUAAACCAUUUUGUGCAUAAUCGAAUAAACAAUCUCAUGAUUUAAUGGCAUACUUCCAUCUAUAUUGAAUUAGAUGAGAUUCAGGAUCUCUCCGAAUUAAAAACUUGAAAAUUAACAAACAUCGUUGUGGAUAAAAUGUUUAAAAUAUAAAUGAUAUUGUUACAUUAAUA